UGUAACUUCAUAAAACACCUAUUGAGAAUAUUACUUCGGCAGAUUGAAUUUAAAAAAAGAUAAAUAAAGUACUUCAAAUUCAGAUAUAAACGUUAUAUUUGUUCGGAAUAGUAAUAAAUUUUUUUCUCUGCCAAAGAAAGAAAACAAAAAAGAAGUUCGCCUAUAUAUAGCCUGUAUACUUUUAUUUUUCCGUGAUCCGGAUCGCGGGCCUCGCGGGCUUUUCUGAAAGUGUGCACGGAGAACACACGUGUUUCCGUUUCAACGAAAACAACAUCAGCUUCACCGUGACUGUCACAACCAACGCUUGUAUUUUACAUCUUUAAAACGACCUGAUGUCAGAAGAAGAUGCCCUGGAUCGCCUGUUGCAGGAUGACCCAAACGAUCAUGCAUACAGUAUAAAUACGUACAUGUAAGUUGAUGUAGCCACAUAGGCCGACUAAAAAGAAAACAAAAAUGUGGUUUUGUCAUGUUAUGAAAAAUUCACGAUUAAUUAACCGCAAUUUGAUGCCAUGGUUUGUCGUUUCAUGAAAGCAAAUAUUUAUAUUUUAUGAUAUCUAAAACAAGUGAAUAACACCCUGUCCGGGUCCGGCAGUUUGAUUAACACCCCCCCCCCUUUUUCCCAGAAUUAUCUCCUUACGUGACGCGCGAGUGUAAGAAGGGGGUGUAUUUAGUGUAUAAUGGGAUGGGGUGGUUUUAAUAAGACUGGGCAUUCACGACCGCUGGUGAGAAGGCUAUUUUCCAAGUUUUUUCCAUGUUUAUAAAAGAAAUUAUCUUUCUAUGAAAAGAAAACACAAUCUGUUAGGAAAACACACUUAUGAUAGAAUUUAUUAUCAUAAUUUGAAUUAUUUUCUUUAUUCUGUAACAGAAAUAAAAACAAAAUGUGUGUUUGGGCCAAAAUGGGGGUGGGUUAACAUCAAUCAAAGUCUGAUUAUGACAGGCUAAUGAAAAAUAAUAGUGAUUUCUCUUUUAUCCAAAUGCAUGUAUUUUAUAUACACUUAGUAGCUUAUGACCAUAAAUUAAAUGUGAUCCAUACAUGCUGGUACUUGUAUGCUAUGAGCUGAUGAGCAUGUGUUCCCUUCUUGCCCACAGGGGCUCGGUUGUCAGAUAUUGAAGUUUUGUAUUAUUUGUUCCCAAAUAAUAGAUUGAAGUUUUGCAUGAUUUGUGUCCGAAUGAUAAAUUAUAUAAAUGCAAGGUGAAGAUAACGAACAGUGAUCAAUCUCAUAACUCCUACAAGCAAUACAAAAUAGAUAGUUGGGCAAACACGGACCCCUGGACACACCAGAGGUGGGAUCAGGUGCCUAGGAGGAGUAAGCAUCUCCUGUUGACCGGUCACACCCGCCGUGAGCCCCAUAUCAUGAUCAGGUAAACGGAGUUAUCCGCAGUCAAAUCAGUGUGCCAAGUACUUUAAUGUACACAUGAUACACCUUUUUGAAAACCUCUAAAAAAGCGGAUUUUGGUGGUGGAUUUUAUUUAUAUAAUUUAUUAUUCGGACACAAAUCAUGCAAAACUUCAAUUUAUUAUUCGGGAACAAAUAAUACAAAACUUCAAUAACUGACAACCGAGCCCCUGUGUUCUUGGCGGUCUCCUCCGUGACCGAGUGGUUAGAGCAUUGCGCUCAAAAUCACACGGCCUCUCAUCUCUGUCGGCGCGAGUUCGAAUCCCAUUCGCGCCGGUAAGUGAGAAAGUUUUCCCAAUUUACUUUCGAAAGAUCAGUGGUCUCUCCCCAGGUAUCUGGGUUCUCUCUUCCACCAAUAAAAAAAAACUGGGUGCCACCAGAUAACUGAAAAAUUGCUGAGUUUGGCAGAAAACAUCAAUCAAUCAAUCCCCUUCUUGCCUAGAUUUUCUCUAAUUUCGACUAAAUCCACAGCCCAUCAGAGUACCAUACAAGGGGAUUUAGACACUGGGUACCAUUAAGAAGCAAUUCAAUUCAACUUUUAUAUCUGGGGUCAUUCACUUUCCCUCAGAGUUUCAGUAUUUUCGCUGGACCCUGUAGGUUUUAACCUGAAUUUCUUCAGUAUUUGCCCUCGUGUAUAAUAUAUGCUAGGCAUAAUGCAGAUACCUACAUGAUACAUUUUUUUUCAUUACCCACUCUGCUACUCUCGCAAUGUAUAAUAAAAUAUUCGAUUCAUUUCUAACACAUGUAUGCAAUCCCUUACCAUAUCUUUAAAUAAAUUUGAGUAAAUAAAUUUAAGUGCGAAACUGUUCCAUGCUACCGUGAAACUUAGAUUUUGCUUUUUAAACAUAAACCAACAAUUCUUAAUUGUGAUUUCUUUUCUUCUUUAAAAAGGGUAUUGACAUCCCAAUAUUUAGUGGGAAGUUCCCAGGUAUCAUCCGCUAGCGACAGUCUACUGACAAAUCCAGACAUGCAUUGGAAGGAUGCUGAUAUGGAGGACACAGGAACACCUGAUCCCAGAACUGUGGCAUUUCAUUCGGGGUGACAACCUGGCUUUCAGUUGAUAUGGGACCCUAUUAUUCGGAGAACUGCAAAUUUUAUGAAGCUGUCUUUGACAGAAGAUUUGGUUUUCUCCAUCUGUGUUGCCACCAACCAUUAUGCUGAGAUGGUCAUAUCUAGGGGGAAGGGUUGCCAUAUACUUCCCAAGGAAGUUUGCACCCUCUCACUGAAGAGGAACUGUACAGAUUUUUGUGCAUUAUCUUAUACACGCCUGCUGUGAAGUUCCAGUCGAUAGACAGAUAUUGGUCAAGGCAUGCCCCUGUCGGAACAACUCGUUAUCAAGAAUUAUGUCUAGAAAUAGGUUUCAAGAGGUUGAAUAUAAGAACAUUUUUGUUAAAUAUGAUGCAAGUACAUUUAAAUCUAGUGAUUGAAAGUAAGUACUUGAACAUUCGCUUAUGUUGAACUUGGAGAGGAAAAAUGGUUAGUACUUUUUGAUAACAUUUGAUAAGGUGUUGUUGCUUAGCAACCAAAUAUAACUGAAUAAAAAAUAGAUUAUUUUAGAUUAACAAUAAUUGAAAGAUUUUUGUUUUAAUGUUGCAAUACUUAUUCUAUUUAAUGGAACAUAAUGGCAAAACGUCAUAUUAUUAGAAAAUGAUGGACAAGUAUAUAAAGUACGAAGUUUCCAUUUGAUGACCUUUGACCUUAAUUCUCUUCAUUACAUUUUUUUUUAAAAACCUUUUAAAAUGAUUAAGAUCUAUUUAAAGAUUAUAUUUUUAAAAUAAAGUGACAUUUACUAAUCAUCAUGGAUUGUAAUUACGUUUAAAUUGUGUCGAAUGGAUGCAGAAAGGCAAAUUAUGGUCAAAAUUGUACUAUGAGUGUUGUUACUUAGCAACCAAAAAUAUUUGUUUGUCAAUAAAAUUGAUUAGUUUGA